AAAGGAAUUGACGGGGGCCCGCACAAGCGGUGGAGCAUGUGGUUCAAUUCGACGCAACGCGAAGAACCUUACCAGCCCUUGACAUGUCCUCUAUGGAUUCCAGAGACGGAAUCCUUCACUUCGGGUGGGAGGAACACAGGUGCUGCAUGGCUGUCGUCAGCUCGUGUCGUGAGAUGUUGGGUUAAGUCCCGCAACGAGCGCAACCCUCGCCUUUAGUUGCCAUCAUUUAGUUGGGCACUCUAAAGGGACUGCCGGUGAUAAGCCGCGAGGAAGGUGGGGAUGACGUCAAGUCCUCAUGGCCCUUACGGGCUGGGCUACACACGUGCUACAAUGGCGGUGACAAUGGGCAGCGAACCAGCAAUGGGGAGCUAAUCUCAAAAAGCCGUCUCAGUUCGGAUUGCACUCUGCAACUCGAGUGCAUGAAGUUGGAAUCGCUAGUAAUCGUGGAUCAGCAUGCCACGGUGAAUACGUUCCCGGGCCUUGUACACACCGCCCGU
rnacentral:rRNA from 1 species